rnacentral:misc_RNA from 1 species
CUUGGUCAUUUAGAGGAAGUAAAAGUCGUAACAAGGUCUCCGUUGGUGAACCAGCGGAGGGAUCAUUACCGAGUUUACAACUCCCAAACCCCUGUGAACAUACCUUUAUGUUGCCUCGGCGGAUCAGCCCGCGCCCCGUAAAACGGGACGGCCCGCCGCAGGAACCACAAAACUCUGAUUUUAGUGUAACUUCUGAGUCUAAAAAACAAAUAAAUCAAAACUUUCAACAACGGAUCUCUUGGUUCUGGCAUCGAUGAAGAACGCAGCAAAAUGCGAUAAGUAAUGUGAAUUGCAGAAUUCAGUGAAUCAUCGAAUCUUUGAACGCACAUUGCGCCCGCCAGUAUUCUGGCGGGCAUGCCUGUUCGAGCGCCAUUUCAACCCUCAAGCCCCCGGGUUUGGUGUUGGGGAUCGGGCUGUACUCCAGCCCGGCCCCGAAAUCUAGUGGCGGUCUCGCUGCAGCCUCCAUUGCGUAGUAGCUAACACCUCGCAACUGGAACGCGGCGCGGCCAAGCCGUUAAACCCCCAACUUCUGAAUGUUGACCUCGGAUCAGGUAGGAAUACCCGCUGAACUUAAGCAUAUCAAUAAGCGGAGGA